AAGAGGACACAAAGUUUUGAUCAACACAUAGAAAAUCAUUGAAGAGGUAGAAGAAAAUUUAGUUGUAGGCAUCCUGGUGCUCCAAGAGGUAGUUCUCAACCAACUUCAAGAGUUGGGAGGCCUUCUCUUUGCCAGCCUUGAGAUGCUCUUCCUUGAUUUCAACAUCACCUUUGGUGUGGUAGUGGCAGGUGCGCUUGAUGAUCGAACCGUUGCUGGAAGCCACCAACAUAGUCUCAUAAGAGAUCUUCUCAAUUGUCUCAGAGAUAGCAUCUCCCUCAAUCAUACUGUACUUGUACACAAAGUUCUCCUUGUCAAUCGCAUCAAUUCUUUUUUUCACGUAGCCAUAUGUGCUACUUUCACCGAAGCUGAUCUUCAUAAUGGUUCCAGCUCCGCCAUCUCCUUCAAGGAUCUCAACGCUCUUCACAGCUUGCGGUGCAAGCUUGGCGAUGAGUUUGUCACCAUCAAGAGCAGUCGCAUUGAACAACCUAGCAGGGGGGAUGACGGAGGUGGACUCGGAUUCGUAUGUGAAAACACCCAUGAUUCUACGAAAUGUUUGGAAAGUGAGAAAAAAAUUUGAUGAAAAGGAAGAUGAUGCAACGGGAGAUUUUGAGCUGUGAAGAAGUGAGGGAGGAGCUAUGUAUUUUCAGAGUGAGGCUGAGGGUUGAUCAAAAGGUUUAUUUAUGCUAGUUCCUGCUUGGUUCUAUUCAUUGGCGUGGGAACCAUUAAUUUAUGUACAUGUAAUUUUGUAUUUUUGUCAAGGGGAAGGGAGGGACCAUCUGGAUAUUGAAUAAGAAAAUGCGCCGCUUACCACAAGGUCGACGAACCUCAAUUAUUGUUCAUAACAACUGUUUGUCCAAUGAGCAAUCAAUGUUUGACAGAGCAUUUCCACUCUAAAAUGCCUCGUGGGUUAUAAGCAACUCAAUUCCCUUAUCUGAACAGUAACUUCUGUAGUGAACAGUAAUUGUUCAAGUGCAUCUGCAUCUCUAAACUGAAUAGCUCAGGCUAUUGAUAUUAAAAUAUUAUUUUUAUUUACGAAUAAUAAUAAAAGCUUGGUUGAAAGUAUUUGAAAAUAUUGAAAUGUAGGAUAAAGUGAAAGAAUAUGGUUAUAAAAAAAAAAAGAAAAAGAAAAAAGAACAUGGUUAUGUAUUUAUGUAAAUUUUUUAUUUUUUUAUUUUUAACGAAUUUUUAAUAAUUUAAGUUGUGGUUAAUGUUACGAUGACAUCAGUCUUAGGUUAUGUAGGCCAGGCGCUGGGCCAAUAGAUUAUCGCCUGAUGGAAGAAUCGGGCUCCCUGGAUUGGGCUGGAGGGUUUUUGAGGGGGGAAUGAAUGGAUUGGAUUGCCUACUCGCAAGGGGAUUUGGUCCCGCUGGAGCUGCUCGCAGGUGGCCCACGUUGAAAUGCAAGUCAAGUCCCCACUAACUACCAGCAGCUCCAAUAAAUUUUAGCAGCUCUAAUAAAUUUUAGUUAGUUUUUAUCCGUUGAUCUUCUUCAAUUCAUCCGAUCCGACGGUUAAAAAUUAAAAAAGUGCGAGAAAAGUAAAAAGGGGUGUGUGGAUAUCACGUCCUAAAAUUUAUUGGAGCUGCUGGUAGGUAGCCCUCGGGUCGGAGUGACGAACGCGGAAUCACAGAUCCAAUCCACUCUGAGCAAUCCCCAGUAGCUUAAGUUCGACCUUUCAGGCCUGAGCCACCUCCACUCUGAGUAUCAACUAUGAUCGCGGAUCGGAGAUGACCCAUUGCUCUGCCUCGGGUUAAAUAUUUCAAAGGAGACUCUGACCCCGCUGGUCACAUCACUCUAAACAGCGACUCCGCAGCUUCGGUACAGAUUCGAAAUAAAUUACUUUUAAUGAGCAUUUCAUUUAGAAAUAUGAUUCCGUAUUUAGGAUAUGCAUGCUUAAAUUGGGCCCUAAUUAGAUGUUAGAUACGUUGGGUUUGUUAAAUGGUUAUCUCUUAUUUGAUGUGGUUCCAAAGAAGAAUCCUUAAGGAGGCAUCUUCGAUGCCUAACAGGGUCGGCUCUCAAGGCUUACAGCUGCCACCCUUCCUGAAUUUCGACAUGGCCACACUUAAGGAGACCAACUCAUCAAACCUAUUGUUAAAAAGAAACAUUCAAAUAUAUUAUCAAAUCCAUGAUUUUCCUUUUAUUCAUUGAUAAAUGUAGGGAAAUACAAUAUUGAGUCUUCAAUCAAAGCUCCAAUUACAAGCCAGAAUAGUGUUUUAGAAGUAAAAAAAAAGAAAAAAGAAAGAAAAUGAAAACCACACGAACAAUUCAUUAACUGAUACCAAAGAGGACACAAAGUUUUUUUUUUAUCAAUACUUAGAAAAUCAUUGUAGCUAGGGGCAGAAGAAUUUAGUUGUAGGCAUCAUGGUGCUCCAAGAGGUAGUUCUCAAUUAACUUGAAGAGAUGUGAGGCCUUCUCUUUGCCAGCCUUGACAUGCUCUUCCUUGAUCUCAACAUCACCUUUGGUAUGGUAGUGGCUGAUGCUCUUGAUAACGGAACCGCUGCCGGAAGCCACCAACUUAGUCUCAUACGAGAUUUUUUCAAUUGUCUCAGAGAUUGCAUCUCCCUCAAUGACACUGUAUUGGUACACAAAGUUGUCCUUGUCAACCCCAUCGAUUUUGUGCUUCACAUAGCUGUAUGUGCUACCUUCACCGAAGUUGAUCUUCUUAAUGGUUCCAACUCCACCAUCUCCUUCAAGGAUCUCAGUGCUCUUCACUGCCUGUGGUGCAAUUUUAGGGAUGAGGUUGUCAGCAUCAAGAACAAAGGCAUUGUACAACCUAGCAGGGGGGAUGACGGAAGUGAACUCGAAUUCGUAUGUGAAAACACCCAUGAUUCUGCGAAUUGUUUGGAAAGUGAGAAAAAGAAAUUGAUGAAAAGGAAGAUGGU
rnacentral:lncRNA from 1 species